rfam:Gossypium arboreum cultivar AKA8401 contig_22_19, whole genome shotgun sequence.
UAUUAAAAAUUUCAUUCAUUUUUAGUAUUAAAAAUUGACUUCACUUAUGAAAUAACCCAAUAAUAACACGUGUCAUAUUACGUGUAUUUUAUCCUGAUGUAAUGAGACUAAUUUUUAACAGUAAAAAAUUAAUGAUAUUUUUAACC